CCCUUAGAUGUCCUGGGCGGUCCGCGCGCUACAAUGUCAGCUACUGAAGGUUAAUGCUUUGAAAGAGAGCGCGCUCUCCUUUUAAUUGCUCGCAUGCUGGGAUAAAUGAAUGCAAUUUUGUUUUGAACGAGGAAUUCCUAGUAGCCAUGUUUCACUAGAAGAUGGCGAAUGCGUCCCUGCCCUUUGUACACACCGCCCGUCGCUCCUACCGAUGAGCGUUUUGGCGAAGACGGUUUGAGUAGCUGCGUAAUUUCGUGUUGUUGACUCCGGCAGUUUGAGCCUUCACGUUUAGAGGAAGGAGAAGUCGUAACA
rnacentral:rRNA from 1 species